rnacentral:rRNA from 1 species
GAUGAACGCUGGCGGCGUGCCUAACACAUGCAAGUCGAACGGACUUACAUUGAAGCCUAGCGAUAUGUAAGUUAGUGGCGGACGGGUGAGUAACGCGUGGGUAACCUGCCUUGUACAGGGGGAUAACACUUAGAAAUAGGUGCUAAUACCGCAUAAGCGCACAGUGUUGCAUGACACAGUGUGAAAAACUCCGGUGGUACAAGAUGGACCCGCGUCUGAUUAGCUAGUUGGUGAGGUAACGGCCCACCAAGGCAACGAUCAGUAGCCGGCCUGAGAGGGUGAACGGCCACAUUGGGACUGAGACACGGCCCAAACUCCUACGGGAGGCAGCAGUGGGGAAUAUUGCACAAUGGGGGAAACCCUGAUGCAGCAACGCCGCGUGAAGGAAGACGGUCUUCGGAUUGUAAACUUUUGUCUUAGUGAAGAAAAAUGACGGUAGCUAAGGAGAAAGCCAACGGGCUAACUACGUG